rnacentral:rRNA from 1 species
ACUUAUAUUCUGUAGCAAGGUUAACCGAAUAGGGGAGCCGGAGGGAAACCGAGUCUUAAUUGGGCGUUAAGUUGCAGGGUAUAGACCCGAAACCCGGUGAUCUAGCCAUGGGCAGGUUGAAGGUUGGGUAACACUAACUGGAGGACCGAACCGACUAAUGUUGAAAAAUUAGCGGAUGACCUGUGGCUGGGGGUGAAAGGCCAAUCAAACCGGGAGAUAGCUGGUUCUCCCCGAAAGCUAUUUAGGUAGCGCCUCGUGAAUUCAUCUCCGGGGGUAGAGCACUGUUUCGGCUAGGGGGCCAUCCCGGCUUACCAACCCGAUGCAAACUGCGAAUACCGGAGAAUGUUAUCACGGGAGACACACGGCGGGUGCUAACGUCCGUCGUGAAGAGGGAAACAACCCAGACCGCCAGCUAAGGUCCCAAAGUCAUGGUUAAGUGGGAAACGAUGUGGGAAGGCCCAGACAGCCAGGAUGUUGGCUUAGAAGCAGCCAUCAUUUAAAGAAAGCGUAAUAGCUCACUGGUCGAGUCGGCCUGCGCGGAAGAUGUAACGGGGCUAAACCAUGCAC